CACACACACACACAGUCUCAGACACACACACAGAAACACAGUCUAACACACACACACAGACACACACACGCAAAGCACACACAAAUGCAGACACAUUUGCCGGGCGACAGAGAUCAGCUUCCUUUCACACAGGGAAGUGGCACGUCAGCAGGAUCAGACCCCGCUGUCAGUCAGAGCUCAGCCUGCUGGGGACGGGACGGGACGGGGGGGGCCGGGGGGAGGUGUAACGGCACACCCCUCUGAGAGAGCCCGUCUUUCGGUGUGCGGGACAGGUAACCCGAAUCGGUCACCUGAGCACCGGGUAUGCAGGAACCCCAGGGGUUUGAUAGCAGCACAGCAGUUUAUUCCUCUCCCUCUCUCUCUCUCCCUCUCCCUCUCUCUCUCCCUCUCUCUCUCCUUUUCUCCCGGUACUGAGAUGCUGGGACAGGGGACAGGCGUUCAGCGGGAACCCCUCAAAAAAUUUGCGCCCCGAAGACCUCCGCCGGCCCGCCUUCAGCCACGGCGCCCGGAAGGGGGGGCGUUCGCCCCGCCCCAAGACCGCGGGGGACGGGUCAGCCCCACCCCGGGGGCCCAAAAAGCCUGGAUCUCCCCCAUCACAGAUCGAUUGUAUUUUGCAACUCUGAGAAGCAAGCCUAAAAGCACCGUCAACACACACUAUUUCUGCACGGACGACGAAUUUGUCUAUGAAAACUUUUAUGCAGAUUUUGGUCCUCUAAACCUGGCGAUGAUGUACAGGUACUGCUGUAAACUCAACAAAAAGCUGAAAUCAGUUUCCUUGUCCAAAAAGAGGAUUGUCCACUACACCAGCUUCAGUCCACACAAGAGGUCUAACGCUGCUGUCUUGAUUGGCGCCUACUCUGUUAUCUACCUGAAGAAGACCCCGGAGGAGGCUUACAGAGCCCUUUCAUCAGGGUCAGGUGCAUCCUACCUGCCUUUCCGGGACGCGUCUGUGGGAAACAGCACUCACAGCCUGACGGUCCUGCACUGCUUGCAGGGAGUCUGUAAGGCCCUGCAGUACGGACUCUUUGACUUUGGGACGUUUGACGUGAAUGAGUACGAACACUACGAGCGCGUGGAGAACGGGGAUUUCAACUGGAUCGUCCCCCGGAAGCUUCUGGCCUUCAGCGGGCCCCACUCCAAAAGCAAAAUAGAGAACGGCUACCCCCUGCACUCCCCAGAGGCCUACUUCCCGUACUUCCGCCAGCACGGCGUGACUGCUGUCGUUCGCCUGAACAAGAAGACGUACGACGGCAGGCGGUUCGCGGACGGCGGCUUCCGCCACUUCGACCUGUACUUCGAGGACGGCGGCACGCCCAGCGACCUCGUCACCCGCCGCUUCCUGCACGUGUGCGAGACCGCGGCCGGCGCCGUGGCCGUGCACUGCAAAGCUGGCCUGGGGCGUACGGGCACUCUGAUUGGCUGCUAUCUGAUGAAGCACUACCGCUUCACAGCGGCGGAGGCCAUCGCCUGGGUGCGCAUCUGCAGGCCCGGCUCCAUCAUCGGACCCCAGCAGAACUUUCUGGAAGAGAAGCAGGCGUGGCUGUGGGCCCAGGGGGAGGUCCAUCGCUCCAGACUGAAGCAGCUGGCGGAGAUGGGCUUUUCCCGCCUCAUAUCCGGGGUGGGGGAGCUGUCACUCAGCCCCACCCUGCACCAGUACUGUGGCUUAGGCCACGCCCAGGAGGGCAGAUGUGGUCAUGACAGCGUGUUUCAAACUCAAGGAGACAAACUCCGUUCUCGAAAGAGCAUCAGACAGACCAGGUCAUCCCCUGCAGUAGCCUUCAGGUACAGGCUGGAUGAUGUGAAAAUGCGAUCCAGGUCCCAGAGUUUCAACAGUCAGAAGGGGCGACUGGGGAGCUCCACCCCUCCACCCAGGGGGUCCAGGGUGGUCCCCGCCCCCCCCUCCCGAAGGAUGACCUCCUCGGCCUCAACGUCUGCCCUCCGCAGGUAAGCCCCACUCUGCACUCCCCGUCUCUGCAGACAUCCAUCAAUCUGCUCUCCGCAGGUAAGCCCCACUCUGCACUCCCCGUCUCUGCAGACAUCCCUCAAUCUGCCCUCCGCAGUUCCCUGGGUCCAGCUGCCUUCAAUAACAGAGCAGCUGUACUGCACUGACACAACCAGCAGGAGGCAGUGCUGAGUCGGUCAUAUUGGACUUACCCAGAGUACGAAGCCCCUCCCCCUCUCUAUCGCCUUUAACUCAGGACUUCGGCCCAUCUCCUCUGGCCCCUCCCUCAGACAGUGACCUCAGAGGGCUGGCCACGCCCACCAUCGGGGCCUCUGUAUUGCUGAUUACAGUGGAGCACUGAUGUGUGUGUGUGUCUGUACACUUGUGUACUAUGUGUGUAUGUAUACUUGUGCCCUGUGUGUGUGUGCAGACUUGUGUA